rnacentral:rRNA from 1 species
UACGUAGGGGGCUAGCGUUGUCCGGAAUCAUUGGGCGUAAAGAGCGUGUAGGCGGCCCGGUAAGUCCGCUGUGAAAGUCGGGGGCUCAACCCUCGAAUGCCGGUGGAUACUGUCGGGCUAGAGUGCGGAAGAGGCGAGUGGAAUUCCUGGUGUAGCGGUGGAAUGCGCAGAUAUCAGGAGGAACACCGAUGGCGAAGGCAGUUCUCUGGGCCGUAACUGACGCUGAGGAGCGAAAGCGUGGGGAGCGAACAGG